GAUGAACGCUGGCGGCGUGCUUAACACAUGCCAGUCGAACGGAAAGGCCAGUGCUUGCACUGGUGCUCGAGUGGCGAACGGGUGAGUAACACGUGGGUGAUCUGCCCUGCACUUUGGGAUAAGCCUGGGAAACUGGGUCUAAUACCAGAUAGGACCAUGCUUUGGAUGGUGUGGUGGAAAGUUUUUUCGGUGUGGGAUGAGCUUGCGGCCUAUCAGCUUGUUGGGGGGGUAAUGGCCUACCAAGGCGUCGACGGGUAGGCCGCAUUAGAGGGUGGACGGCCACCUUGGGACUACGGAAGGGCCCAGGCCCCAAGGGGGGGCAACGGGGGGGAGUAUGGCCCAGCGGGGCCAAGCCUGUUGAAGCGGCCCCGGGUGGGGGAAGACGGCUUUGGGGUUGUAAACCCCUUUCACAAAUGACGAAGCUUUUUGGGCGGGUCGGUUAGAAAGAACCCCCGCUAACUUCCUG
rnacentral:rRNA from 1 species